AGUGAACGCUGGCGGUAGGCCUAACACAUGCAAGUCGAACGGCAGCACAGUAAGAGCUUGCUCUUACGGGUGGCGAGUGGCGGACGGGUGAGGAAUACAUCGGAAUCUACUUUUUCGUGGGGGAUAACGUAGGGAAACUUACGCUAAUACCGCAUACGACCUACGGGUGAAAGCAGGGGAUCUUCGGACCUUGCGCGAUUGAAUGAGCCGAUGUCGGAUUAGCUAGUUGGCGGGGUAAAGGCCCACCAAGGCGACGAUCCGUAGCUGGUCUGAAAGGAUGAUCAGCCACACUGGAACUGAGACACGGUCCAGACUCCUACGGGAGGCAGCAGUGGGGAAUAUUGGACAAUGGGCGCAAGCCUGAUCCAGCCAUACCGCGUGGGUGAAGAAGGCCUUCGGGUUGUAAAGCCCUUUUGUUGGGAAAGAAAAGCAGCAGGUUAAUACCCCGCUGUUCUGACGGUACCCAAAGAAUAAGCACCGGCUAACUUCGU
rnacentral:rRNA from 1 species